CCAUGAGUUUAGUUGGCGAACGGGUGAGUAACACGUGAGCAACCUGCCCCGAAGAUUGGGAUAACACCGGGAAACCGGUGCUAAUACCGAAUACCUUCCUUUCUCCGCAUGGUGAGAGGAAGAAAUGUUUUUUCGCUUCGGGAGGGGCUCGCGGUCCAUCAGCUUGUUGGCGGGGGUAACGGCCCACCAAGGCGACGACGGAUAGCUGGUCUGAGAGGACGAUCAGCCACACUGGAACUGAGACACGGGUCCAGACUCCUACGGGAGGCAGCAGUGGGGAAUCUUGNCGCAAUGGGCGAAAGCCUGACGCAGCAACGCCGCGUGAGGGACGAAGGCUUUCAGAGUUGUNAACCUCUUUCGACAGGAACGAUUGUGACGGUACCUGUAGAAUAAGCACCGGCCAACUAUGUG
rnacentral:rRNA from 1 species